rnacentral:lncRNA from 1 species
GAAGGGAGAUGACAAUCUAUUUUUUCUGUUCUUUGCUAUUUAGCUCAGAGAGUUAUGUGUUAAUGCACAGAACAGCUCGGAGCAGCACUGUGGCCCCAGUCAGUGUGCUGGGAAAUACGAAGCAGGGAUGCCCAAGUGAUGCUGCAGCGCUGGCUUUGUGUGUUACUCAUGCAUAUCUCGGCCUCAUCUUGACCUCCUCAAACUACCCAGGCAAUUUCCUAUGUAGGUGCUUUUCCUGCCAGUGGUCGCUCUCUCGAGGCCUAAAAGCUCCACGUGAGAUCAUCAGAGAAACGUGUUAACUUCUCCUCCCCAUUGCUGGCAUUGAGUGUAACAACAGUUUGCUCCCAAAGCAGAAAUCUGAAAGUCCUUGGAAAGCGAGCUGUAUGGGUGAGUCUAAAACAGUUACCCAUUUCAAAGUCUCUUACUGCCAGCGUGACACACAUGCACUGCCUUUUAGUGGUGCAGGAUCCAUUGAGUGGAGGGACUGAUGGAAUGCUCACUUAUUAUAUUUCUUUCCGUCCUGUACACCAGACGCUGGUUGUAAGCGACAUUCAAAACCAUUUGUUGAUGGUUCUAUUUUUACAGUGUUUCGGUCUUGCUCAAUAUACUAAAAUCACAGGAAAACUGAGCCACGCACACCUAUUUCCAAAUGUGUGUGUCAUGGUCUGUGCAGUACAUGAAAUUGAUAGCAGUCACUGUAUCUUUCAGGCUCAGUAACUCAGGCAUCACAAGACCCAGCUGCACUUUUUUCAAACUCUAACUAGAUUUGUAAUGCACCUGGUAAAUAUCUGCCCUUUCAGAAAAAACAAUUUCACUUCUGCCAAAGCAAGCAUUAAGAACACUAAUGCAGGUCAAGUAGUUUACUGUUGGUAUGAGCAACAGCAUACGUAACCCAUAAUUUGAAUCUAAAAUGAAUAAUGAGUAGCUGCCAUUGUAUGAUUUAAGACUCUCUAAACAAAACAGAAGGCAAUAAGGCAAUCCAAGAAGAGUUCCUGGAAAGACAAAAGAAACGAACCUUGUUCUUUUCAGCUGAGUUGUUUUUCUUACUUUAGCUGUGGCACAGAGGUGGGAGAGCAGCUGCGGAGGUGAGUGGGGCCUCAGAUAAAGGAUUGGAAAACCUAUAGAACCUGAGGAGAGCAAAGAAGCCCUGAAUCUCUGCACGAGCACUUUGGAGCUAAAGGAGCUGAGUCUGAAUGAAGUGUUCUGCCUCUGGUUCCCCACAUCUCCCGGGGUAGCUGGUGAAAAGACUGGUAAGACCCUGUUAACCAAGUGCCUUGAGUCACAUUUGCCACCACGUGU